rnacentral:lncRNA from 1 species
AACUGACAGCAUCUGUCUGAAAGAUAUUCAGAGUCUCUCCUGCUUCAUUGGGAGUGUUUGUACAAGUUGUCAGAUACUUGUCCUAAGUGGUGUUUGUUUCACUUCCAUAAAGAAGACAACAGCUCUGGACUCUGAUAAAACAAAGCUUGGCAGAGUCCCAGGCACGGUAUCUUGUUCUGGCACUACACUCAGCUUGAUCUUCUCAUUUACCUCACAGGUAUUCAGCAGGACUGCUUCAUCACAUUGUGUUAUGAGUGUUCAACAAGCGUGCUCGAGGAAAGCCUAUGUCACUUGUAGAUGUAUCCUGACACCAAGUGAAUCACGCUGCUUCACACUGCACUGAAUCAUUGGCAUUCAGUCUUCAAAAGCCAGGAGUGUACAUCUUUGGGAGACGAAGCUGCAAAAGAAUUUUGAAUAGUUUGAACCUGGGGGUGCUUCUG